GACGAACGCUGGCGGCGUGGAUUAGGCAUGCAAGUCGAACGGUAUCAUCCUUUCGGGGGUGAGAGAGUGGCGAACUGGUGAGUAACACGUAGGUUAUCUACCCUCAAGACGGGGACAACCCAGGGAAACUUGGGCUAAUACCGGAUGUGAGCAACUUUUAGUUGUUUGAAAGGUGGCGUAAGCUGUCGCUUGGGGAUGAGCCUGCGUCCUAUUAGUUAGUUGGUGAGGUAACGGCUCACCUAGGCAAUGAUAGGUAGGCGGCCUUAACGGGUGGUCGCCCACACUGGGAUUGAGAUAUGGCCCAGACUCCUACGGGAGGCAGCAGUCGAGAAUAGUCUACAAUGGUCGGAAGACUGAUAGUGCGACGCCGCGUGAACGAUGAAUCCCUUCGGGGUGUAAAGUUCUUUUAUAUGUGAGCAGUGCUUCUUAUAUUAACAGUAUGGGGAGAGAGAUAUUAGCAUAUGAAUAAGCAACGGCUAACUCCGUGCCAGCAGCCGCGGU
rnacentral:rRNA from 1 species